rnacentral:rRNA from 1 species
GAUGAACGCUGGCGGCGUGCCUAACACAUGCAAGUCGAGCGAAGCGCUUAAAUUAGAUUUCUUCGGAAUGACGAUUUUUGUGACUGAGCGGCGGACGGGUGAGUAACGCGUGGGUAACCUGCCUCAUACAGGGGGAUAACAGUUAGAAAUGACUGCUAAUACCGCAUAAGACCCCAGCUUCGCAUGAAGCGGUGGUAAAAACUCCGGUGGUAUGAGAUGGACCCGCGUCUGAUUAGCUAGUUGGUAAGGUAACGGCUUACCAAGGCGACGAUCAGUAGCCGACCUGAGAGGGUGACCGGCCACAUUGGGACUGAGACACGGCCCAGACUCCUACGGGAGGCAGCAGUGGGGAAUAUUGCACAAUGGGGGAAACCCUGAUGCAGCGACGCCGCGUGAAGGAUGAAGUAUUUCGGUAUGCAAACUUCUAUCAGCAGGGAAGAAAGUGACGGUACCUGACUAAGAAGCCCCGGCUAACUACGUG